GGGCUGUUGGGACAACUAGAUAAACAUCAGUUCUUUUAAAAAGGAUAUCUUGAGAUGGAGAUGGAGAACAAACAAAUUACAAUGGGAAAUUCCUUAAAUAAAAAUUUAUUGACCUUAAAUUACACAUUCUUAAAAGAAAAACACCUUUUAAAGAAAAGUCAACAUGCAUUUUUGGCUCGAAGUUUCUCUAGUGUUUUCUGUGGAGGGAAUAAAUAAGAAUAAGUAGCAGUUCCUAUUGUGGUAUGCCCUUGAUAUUUAAUAGGAGGGAGGGGACUUGUUUACCUUAUGAAAUUCUUUUGCUCUUGCUCUGUUUAGGGCAUAAGCUUCUUGUUUUGCUUUCUCUAUCUUUUGCUGUUUCACUUCAGCUAAUUGAUUGUGUAGUCUGAAAGUAAUUUGUGUGGAAUUAAAUACCAAUAUUGAAGAAAAGUGAAUUACUAAAAAUAAAGCAAAGAAGCUACCUUAGAGCCCUUUGGUGCAUGAGGGCUUGUGCAGUCUUUCUUUCUUCAGUAAAACUCAUUUUAACUUUAUUCACUCCCUUAAGGUGACUCACAGAUGAACCUGAGAAAAGAGAAAUAGAGGCAAGAGUCUUAAACUCUUGAUAAGCACUGGGUUCAAUCUGUACCACCUCUGGAAAAAUAAGUGGGGAAUAAAAGAUAGCCUUAAAAAAAAAAUGUGUGCUUGUGUGGGAAGAGAGUCCAAAAUUAAGUUGAUCAUCUAGGAAGGUGGUUGAGGGCUAAAUUUAAAGACAACAUACCUGUGGCCUGUUUCUCCUUAACUGUUUUGAUUUGGGAAUUUUCAGUGACUUUAAUUUUAUUCCUUAUUUCUUUCUGCCUCUGGUAGGAUCUCUCCAAAAAUGAUUUUUUUCUCUUUAUAAAUGCUUCUUGUAAGCUUCCUGCCAUGACUGUACAUUUUGGAAGGGCUUCUGUUUUAAGAAAGAGUUGGGGCCACUGCAUUUAGGCCAAGUAUAUGCACUUUUUCUAUUUUGGCUAUAAAAGGUGUGAUCCCUACACUUACCAUUUCAGAUUCUCAAGACAUACCUGUAGAUUUUGUUGACUUCUGCAUAGAAAGCUCUGAGGUGGCUGGAUAAUCUGAACUUUCUGUUUCUGAUAGAAUAAAUUCAUUCACCUAAAGGCAUGAAAAUUCAGAUGAGUAACACCAAGUCAUGGUUAGAGCCACCAAAAUUAGAGCUCCUUUGUUUAGCCAAUCAACAUCUCUACAGUCUUAAGCCCUGGUUUCCUUUGGGCAUGAACAUCUUGAACAUGUUCUUUAUUAGUGUGGGGUAGUGAUGGAUGUCCACACCUUUGUUCCCACUCACACUUCUCUCAACACAGCCUCAGUUGUCUCAAUUGGUUUUAAGAAAGGUACUGAGGAUUAAAUUUAGGAAGACAGGGUUUUGGCUAUCCUCCUGCCUCGGUGUAAUAUUACAAUGCCUACCUUAUAUGGCAUUAUUCCUUUAGAUUUAUUUUACCAGCACACCAGAAAAUUCUAGCUUUUCCCAUCGGUUUCCUCAUGUCAUGUGUCCCCAGAAUGAGUUUACCUAGCUAAAAUGCUAGCUAAAAUUCUGGACACCUCAAAACUUUUGACUUCCAAGUCAAAUCUUAAUGUAUACCUGAAGGUAGCUUUUUGCCUCAUCCUCUCUCUUCUCUUCUAGAGUUAAGUUUGCAAAAUCAGUUUCAGCAAUGCUGAUAUCACUGGUGCUUACUAACGUAAGCUCUGGUUCUUCCAUUAUACCAUGACCAGAUUCUGUCUCCUGGUAAAACAAAUAGGAAGUCAUAAAAAUAGCCUUUGUUCAAAAUACACAAUGUGGAAUCUGAAUCUUAUGUGUAAAUAAAUGCAAAAAAUAGUGCACUCUAGAGGAAUAUCAGUAGAUUAUAGAUUCCCCCCGGAUUCCCACUCCUACACCACAGUAUAUUAAAAAUUCAUUCACCUAAAAGCAUGAAAAUUCAGAUGAGUAACACUAAGUCAUGAGUAACACAGUAUAUUAAAAAUAUUAAGAGUGGACUUUGGUAUGGGGUGAAAUAGUAUGGUAACCAUACUGCAGGGAUUACUAAUCUAAACGAUAACAUGGCUACACAGAUUAGGGACUGAAAGAACUGGAGGGCACAUACUAAAUGUAGCAGUGGCUAUUGACCUCCAGCCAAAUGUGGGCCACAGGACCAGAUUAUAUUCCAAAAGAAAUAACUUUAGUUUUAUACAAUGAAGAAUGUAGAGGAGGAACAAAAAGCAGUCAACUAAAACACCUCUGUGGUCUAGAUAAAGCUCUUAUUUUCAACCUUUAUCAGUUUACCUGUAGAAUGUUUAGCUGCACAAAAAGUAAAAACAAUGUCUUGUUAAUGAGUUGAAGCCAAGCAGAUCAUAAUUUGCUUAAUACGAUCGUUCUAACACUGAUUCCAACAAUAUUCAGUGCAGUGCAAUGAAGUUCAACAUAGGCUAAACCACCAUUUCUCAAGGAAACUAGAAAAAGACUAUCUGAAUAGAGAAGAUCUCUAGUAAAAUUCUUAGAGAUAAGCUUUCAAAAUUUGGAAAUUUUCUCAUUUCAUCACAAAUAUUAAGAUGUAACUUUGUUGCUUCUUUUACAUUGAAAAGUUUUUCCACAGAUUUCACUUACCCAGAUUGGAAUAGAACUCUGUAAUGCAAACGAUCCAGAACUUUUAAAGGACUCUAAUUGUGUUGUUUGAGAUAGGCUCAUGACUUCUAGAGUUUCAGUUUUAGUUGAAUCCUCAAAAUAUUUUUCAUUUUGAAUACUGAAUGAAUGUGGCGGCUGAACUGAAGUUCCCAUCUCCACUGUUCUUACACACAAUUGAGAAUCAAUUUCUUCAUGUGGAUCUGUAGCUAAAACUCCACAGGUUUCAUUUUCACCUUCAGUAAGUUCUUGACUGGGUAACAUUAUAAGGGCUUCUUUUUUUGAUAGUUCUUUAAAGUCCCAUCUUUCUUUUCUGCUUUCUUGUUGUUUUAUUGAGUACUCACUAGAGGAAGAACUACAUGGAGUACUAUGCUGUACUUGUAACUGAUGAAAUACAUUAGCCUCAUCAGAUGAACUGUAGGUAGAAUUUAAAUUUCCUCUGGGAAGCUGGAAAUGAACACCUUUUUUCUUAUUUUGUAAUAUUUCAGUCUGAUUUUUCAUGCCUUGGGAAGUAUCUCUUGCCUCAAUGCUAAAAAUACUCGGUAGGUCAGCAUGCUGGCUCCCCUCCUGUGAAGAGAAUUCUGGCAGAAGCUGUUGAAAAGAUUGUUCAGAUCCUGCAUUAAAAAAAAAGAAGAAGAAAUCAGUCUUAUGUGUUAUAAACUUGAAUCUCUCUCAUAGUUCGAGUAAACUGCAAGUUGUUAAUUCCCACAGUUUUAAGAGUGAAAACUGAUGUGUAAAAACAUGACUAGAAAAAUAAAGAUGGUCACAGUGA